GGGGAUGUAGCUCAGGUGGGAGAGCGCCUCCCUUGCACGGAGGAGGCCAGGGGUUCGAGUCCCCUCAUCUCCACCU
rnacentral:tRNA from 1 species